GAAGGACUAAUCCUACUUUAUAAUUUUAAUGUACUAUACAGUUUCCAAGGCAUGUUUAACACCUGUAUCUCACAUGGACUUCACAACAGCUCUACGCAGAAGGCAAGACAGCCAUUACAAUGCUGAUAUCAUUUCCUCAUUUGAAAACAUGUACUACUGAAGAAAGCCUAGAGGGAGAUUGUCCUCUGGUACAGGAUAAAGAAAGGCAAACUUACAAGGCGGCCAUUCUUGCUGUAUGCCUGACUAGAGAAAUGAAUCAAUCAUUUUCUAAGGAAGAAGAUGGUCUCACACAAGAAGAACCAGAAGAUGAUUCACAUAGAAGAUAAUUUUGGGUGUGUCAGGAUGCAGAACAAUCUCCUACACAGAAGUCCCCUGACAGCCUCAAGAGGAUCCCAGUUAGGAGACCCAUUUGGAAGAAAUAAGGAUGUCAGUAGCUGCUGCUGUAAAGUAGAGGCUCCUAUCUACCUGAAGAAAUGCAGUUUCUUAUAAAAAUAGAUGGCAAAGUGUGCAACUAUAGAAGUGAUGAGCAUUCUAUCAUAAUAGAUGAAAAAAUAAGGCACUGGCAAAAAUAAUUAUAGGGGGUAAGAUCUCCUGAAUGACAAAGUAAGAAGCUUGGUGGGCCCUCUUCUCAACAAAACAACAAUUUAAUUUGUAAAAAUUUUAUUAAAUUUUUAAAAAAUCAAACCAACAAUUAUUUAAAGUCUCUGGAAUCAGCAAGUGGAGAAACAUUCAUUAAAGAAAAUCUACUGAUCCUCAGGAAGAACAUGACUGCAGUUUUGAGCAUGGUCUUAACCACCACCAACCUCCCCAGCUCUACCAAUUUUGCAAUACAGAAGCUCUAUCCCAAAUGUUCUACAGGUGUCAAGUGAGGAUUAAGAAGAUAAAGGCCCUCUAUCUCAUAAACACUCCAGGGAUAGGAUUUCCCCCAUGGAGGGGCAGGAUGUUAGGAUUUCUCAUCUCCUGUUUCUGUUGUAGAAGUUCUAUUCCAGCCAAGUAGGCUGAAAGGAUCAGGUCUGUAGCCUCCCCCACACUGUACCCUUAUGCAUAGAACAAGAACAGAAGCUCUACUCUAAAUGUGGCAAGGUAAGAAUAAAGAGGCCCCAAAGGUCCUUCCUCA
rnacentral:lncRNA from 1 species